rnacentral:tRNA from 1 species
GGAGCAGCUGGGCAUUGGAGAGCCCACCGGACUGUAAAUUCGACGCUUGCGCUGUGCUGGUUCGACUCCAGCCUGCUCCA